UCUAAGGAAAAGGAAACCUGUGAGUUUUCGUUCUUCUCUAUUUGUUCAGUUUUGAGAGGUUAGUACUUCUCAGUAUGUUUGUUCUUUGAAAACUAGAUAAGAAAGUUAGUAAAGUUAGCAUAGAUAAUUUAUUAUUUAUGACACAAGUAACCGAGAAUCAUCUGAAAGUGAAUCUUUCAUCUGAUUGGAUGUAUCAUCGCUGAUACGGAAAAUCAGAAAAACAACCUUUACUUCGUAGAAGUAAAUUGGUUAAGUUAGAAAGGGCGCACGGUGGAUGCCUUGGCA
rnacentral:misc_RNA from 1 species